CCUACGUGAGGCUGCAGUGGGGAAUAUUGCGCAAUGGGCGAAAGCCUGACGCAGCGACGCCGCGUGAGGGAUGAAGGUCUUCGGAUCGUAAACCUCUGUCAGCAGGGAAGAACGGUCACUGUGCUAAUCAGCAGUGAAUUGACGGUACCUGCAAAGGAAGCACCGGCUAACUCCGUGCCAGCAGCCGCGGUAAUACGGAGGGUGCGAGCGUUAAUCGGAUUUAUUGGGUUUAAAGGGUGCGUAGGCUGUGAGGUAAGUCAGCGGUGAAAGUCCCCCGCUCAACGGGGUGAAGUGCCAUUGAGACUGCCGUGCUGGAAUGCGGAUGCCGUGGGAGGAAUGUGGGGUGUAGCGGUGAAAUGCAUAGAUAUCACACAGAACACCGAUUGCGAAGGCAGCUCACGAAUCCGCGAUUGACGCUGAUGCACGAAAGCGUGGGUAUCAAACAGGAUUAGAUACCCCUGGUAGUC
rnacentral:rRNA from 1 species